rnacentral:rRNA from 1 species
GACGAACGCUGGCGGCGUGCCUAAUACAUGCAAGUUGAGCGAUGAAGAUUGGUGCUUGCACCAAUUUGAAGAGCAGCGAACGGGUGAGUAACGCGUGGGGAAUCUGCCUUUGAGCGGGGGACAACAUUUGGAAACGAAUGCUAAUACCGCAUAACAACUUUAAACAUAAGUUUUAAGUUUGAAAGAUGCAAUUGCCUCACUCAAAGAUGAUCCCGCGUUGUAUUAGCUAGUUGGUGAGGUAAAGGCUCACCAAGGCGAUGAUACAUAGCCGACCUGAGAGGGUGAUCGGCCACAUUGGGACUGAGACACGGCCCAAACUCCUACGGGAGGCAGCAGUAGGGAAUCUUCGGCAAUGGACGAAAGUCUGACCGAGCAACGCCGCGUGAGUGAAGAAGGGUUUCGGAUCGUAAAACUCUGUUGGUAGAGAAGAACGUUGGUGAGAGUGGAAAGCUCAUCAAGUGACGGUAACUACACAGAAAGGGACGGCUAACUACGUG